CAGUAGCCGCGGUAAUACGGAGGGUGCAAGCGUUAAUCGGAAUUACUGGGCGUAAAGCGUGCGUAGGCGGUUCGUUAAGUCUGUUGUGAAAGCCCCGGGCUCAACCUGGGAAUGGCAAUGGAUACUGGCGAGCUAGAGUGUGUCAGAGGAUGGUGGAAUUCCCGGUGUAGCGGUGAAAUGCGUAGAGAUCGGGAGGAACAUCAGUGGCGGAGGCGGCCAUCUGGGACAACACGGACGCUGAGGCACGAAAGCGUGGGGAGCAAACAGGAUUAGAUACCCCAGUAGUCCCUGUCUCUUAUAA
rnacentral:rRNA from 1 species